CUUGCGGCCGUAUCACAUUAAAACAAUGGUUCUCGUACGAACUGAUCACCGUAGUUAAGCAAGAUCGAGUCUGGUUAGUACCUAGAUAGGUGACCACUUGGGAAUAUCAGGUGCC